rnacentral:rRNA from 2 species
AUAAUAAGCUAUUAAGGGCUAAUGGUGGAUGCCUUGACUGUAAGAGGCGAUGAAGGACGUAUUAGGCUGCGAUAAGCCUCGGGGAGUUGCCAAAGAGCUUUGAUCCGAGGAUUUCCGAAUGGGGCAACCCAGCAUAGUGAGAACUAUGUUACCCUACGGGGAGCGAACCUGGUGAAGUGAAACAUCUCAGUAGCCAGAGGAAGAGAAAUCAAAUGAGAUUCCCAUAGUAGCGGCGAGCGAACUGGGAUUAGGACAAACCCAAUGCUUGCAUUGGGGGUUGUAGGACUAUAAUGUGUAAUUAAAGAGAAUAGAUGAAUUAGUUGGAAAACUAGAGCAUAGAAGGUGAUACUCCUGUAAUUAAAAUUCUCAAUAAUACUAAUAGUAUCCUGAGUAGGUCGGAACACGUGAUAUUUUGACUGAAGCUGGGGGG